CUCUAAGAAGCUUCUACAGCGCUAGCCUUUUAAGCUGGAGAAGGGGGACACCCGCCCCCCUCAGAGA
rnacentral:tRNA from 1 species